UCCCUGCAGCUUAUACCACUUUGACAAAACAUCUGUUGGCCUGGAAUAAAAUCCCUCCCCUAUUCUUAAGCAGAUACAUUUCCCCCUGAAAUAGCAAUAGGGGCUGCUGCAUCUGCUCACACCAUGGCCCGGCUUCAGCCCCAGGAGGAUGAGGCCUUAGCUAAAUCAGACUGAGCUGCCUGCUUUGCCUUACACUCUCUUGUGAAUAACUUUUCUUAUUGCACCUCUUUACGCAAGCGCCAAACCCCAAGCAGGCAAGAAAGCCGUCCAAAAUGCAAAAGAAUUAUGACAGAGGCUCAAACAUCACGGGGUUUUGGAAAGUUUGUUCUUUUAGUAAAAAACUAAAUGUGCAAAUCAAACUCUCUGGCAGCAUUUGUGUGAUAAUAAUCAUGCUGAUUAAGUGUUCGAGCCUCAGGAUAUGCUGGGAACGGCACUAGGACCUAGAAAAUAACCACCCCAUGCUUUUGGAAGACAGCUGCAGGCUCUUCCUGUUCUGCUCUGAGGUGCUGGGGCAGGAACAACUUCUGCAAGAAAUCAGAUUUGAGAACCUGGUACCCUCUUCCCAUCCUUGGAGCUUUCAUCUCCUUGACAGCAAGUUCAUCCUGAAGAAUCAAACACCAAUUUAAAAGAAAAAGAAGAAACCAAGAACUGGAACAAGGGAAACUUUCCAGCCAAAGAACCCUUUAAUAGCAAUCUAUUAGACAAAUCCCAGGCCUAGGGGGUUGUUACAGAGGUUUUGGAUUCCUGCCAGAAUUUUUUUAUUUUUUUUUUGUGUCUCCAAAUGUGUAUUGUCUGAAUGCAGCUGAAAAGGGGAAUCAUUCAGUGUAAUCAGAAGUUUUUCCAGUCUCAUGGAAGUCCCUGUUUCUGAUGGGAUGUGUGAUCCUUAAUAGCCAAGGGAGCUGACUGUUAAAUAUCAUUUGUUAUUAAUUUGUAUGGUAAAGAGUCUGAAACCUUUGAAAUGCAGAUUGUCAGCUCUGUAGUUAGACCUGAACUGAAAUGAUAAAUUCCAGAAGUCA